rnacentral:rRNA from 1 species
AACGAACGCUGGCGGCAUGCCUAACACAUGCAAGUCGAACGAGACCUUCGGGUCUAGUGGCGCACGGGUGCGUAACGCGUGGGAACCUGCCCUUAGGUUCGGAAUAACUCCACGAAAGGGGUGCUAAUACCGGAUAAUGUCUUCGGACCAAAGAUUUAUCGCCUUUGGAUGGGCCCGCGUUGGAUUAGCUAGUUGGUAGGGUAAAAGCCUACCAAGGCGACGAUCCAUAGCUGGUCUGAGAGGAUGAUCAGCCACACUGGGACUGAGACACGGCCCAGACUCCUACGGGAGGCAGCAGUGGGGAAUAUUGGACAAUGGGCGAAAGCCUGAUCCAGCAAUGCCGCGUGAGUGAUGAAGGCCUUAGGGUUGUAAAGCUCUUUUACCCGGGAUGAUAAUGACAGUACCGGGAGAAUAAGCUCCGGCUAACUCCGUG